CGGCGGACGGGUGAGUAACGCGUGGGUAACCUACCCUGUACACACGGAUAACAUACCGAAAGGUAUGCUAAUACGGGAUAAUAUAUUUGAGAGGCAUCUCUUGAAUAUCAAAGGUGAGCCAGUACGGGAUGGACCCGCGUCUGAUUAGCUAGUUGGUAAGGUAACGGCUUACCAAGGCGACGAUCAGUAGCCGACCUGAGAGGGUGAUCGGCCACAUUGGAACUGAGACACGGUCCAA
rnacentral:rRNA from 1 species